rnacentral:tRNA from 1 species
UCCCGCGAGGUUUACCGCUUAGGACUCCUGGCUCUUACCCAGGCGGCCCGGGUUCGACUCCCGGCGCGGGAG